UAUAUAUGUUGGUCAAAAAGAUUAUAGGCUAUUAAAGAUUUAAAGUCUUCACCUUGGCGUGUAUGGUUGAAUGGCCAAUGACAGGUUGGUUUGCCU